rnacentral:rRNA from 1 species
UGGCUUAGAAGCAGCCAUCAUUUAAAGAAAGCGUAAUAGCUCACUGGUCGAGUCGGCCUGCGCGGAAGAUGUAACGGGGCUAAACCAUGCACCGAAGCUGCGGCAGCGACACUGUGUGUUGUUGGGUAGGGGAGCGUUCUGUAAGCCUGUGAAGGUGGCCUGUGAGGGUUGCUGGAGGUAUCAGAAGUGCGAAUGCUGACAUAAGUAACGAUAAAGCGGGUGAAAAGCCCGCUCGCCGGAAGACCAAGGGUUCCUGUCCAACGUUAAUCGGGGCAGGGUGAGUCGACCCCUAAGGCGAGGCCGAAAGGCGUAGUCGAUGGGAAACAGGUUAAUAUUCCUGUACUUGGUGUUACUGCGAAGGGGGGACGGAGAAGGCUAUGUUGGCCGGGCGACGGUUGUCCCGGUUUAAGCGUGUAGGCUGGUUUUCCAGGCAAAUCCGGAAAAUCAAGGCUGAGGCGUGACGACGAGGCACUACGGUGCUGAAGCAACAAAUGCCCUGCUUCCAGGAAAAGCCUCUAAGCAUCAGGUAACAUCAAAUCGUACCCCAAACCGACACAGGUGGUCAGGUAGAGAAUACCAAGGCGCUUGAGAGAACUCGGGUGAAGGAACUAGGCAAAAUGGUGCCGUAACUUCGGGAGAAGGCACGCUGACACGUAGGUGAAGUGAUUUACUCAUGGAGCUGAAGUCAGUCGAAGAUACCAGCUGGCUGCAACUGUUUAUUAAAAACACAGCACUGUGCAAACACGAAAGUGGACGUAUACGGUGUGACGCCUGCCCGGUGCCGGAAGGUUAAUUGAUGGGGUCAGCGCAAGCGAAGCUCCUGAUCGAAGCCCCGGUAAACGGCGGCCGUAACUAUAACGGUCCUAAGGUAGCGAAAUUCCUUGUCGGGUAAGUUCCGACCUGCACGAAUGGCGUAAUGAUGGCCAGGCUGUCUCCACCCGAGACUCAGUGAAAUUGAACUCGCUGUGAAGAUGCAGUGUACCCGCGGCAAGACGGAAAGACCCCGUGAACCUUUACUAUAGCUUGACACUGAACAUUGAGCCUUGAUGUGUAGGAUAGGUGGGAGGCUUUGAAGUGUGGACGCCAGUCUGCAUGGAGCCGACCUUGAAAUACCACCCUUUAAUGUUUGAUGUUCUAACGUGGACCCGUAAUCCGGGUUGCGGACAGUGUCUGGUGGGUAGUUUGACUGGGGCGGUCUCCUCCUAAAGAGUAACGGAGGAGCACGAAGGUUGGCUAAUCCUGGUCGGACAUCAGGAGGUUAGUGCAAUGGCAUAAGCCAGCUUGACUGCGAGCGUGACGGCGCGAGCAGGUGCGAAAGCAGGUCAUAGUGAUCCGGUGGUUCUGAAUGGAAGGGCCAUCGCUCAACGGAUAAAAGGUACUCCGGGGAUAACAGGCUGAUACCGCCCAAGAGUUCAUAUCGACGGCGGUGUUUGGCACCUCGAUGUCGGCUCAUCACAUCCUGGGGCUGAAGUAGGUCCCAAGGGUAUGGCUGUUCGCCAUUUAAAGUGGUACGCGAGCUGGGUUUAGAACGUCGUGAGACAGUUCGGUCCCUAUCUGCCGUGGGCGCUGGAGAACUGAGGGGGGCUGCUCCUAGUACGAGAGGACCGGAGUGGACGCAUCACUGGUGUUCGGGUUGUCAUGCCAAUGGCACUGCCCGGUAGCUAAAUGCGGAAGAGAUAAGUGCUGAAAGCAUCUAAGCACGAAACUUGCCCCGA